UACGUAGGGUGCGAGCGUUGUUCGGAAUUAUUGGGCGUAAAGAGCUCGUAGGCGGUCUGUUGCGUCGGCUGUGAAAACCCGGGGCUCAACUCCGGGCCUGCAGCCGAUACGGGCAGACUAGAGUUCGGCAGGGGAGACUGGAAUUCCUGGUGUAGCGGUGAAAUGCGCAGAUAUCAGGAGGAACACCGGUGGCGAAGGCGGGUCUCUGGGCCGAUACUGACGCUGAGGAGCGAAAGCGUGGGGAGCGAACAGG
rnacentral:rRNA from 1 species